UUGAACGCUGGCGGCAGGCCUAACACAUGCAAGUCGAACGGUAACAGGAAGCAGCUUGCUGCUUUGCUGACGAGUGGCGGACGGGUGAGUAAUGUCUGGGAAACUGCCCGAUGGAGGGGGAUAACUACUGGAAACGGUAGCUAAUACCGCAUAACGUCGCAAGACCAAAGAGGGGGACCUUAGGGCCUCUUGCCAUCGGAUGUGCCCAGAUGGGAUUAGCUAGUAGGUGGGGUAAUGGCUCACCUAGGCGACGAUCCCUAGCUGGUCUGAGAGGAUGACCAGCCACACUGGAACUGAGACACGGUCCAGACUCCUACGGGAGGCAGCAGUGGGGAAUAUUGCACAAUGGGCGCAAGCCUGAUGCAGCCAUGCCGCGUGUAUGAAGAAGGCCUUCGGGUUGUAAAGUACUUUCAGCGGGGAGGAAGGGAGUAAAGUUAAUACCUUUGCUCAUUGACGUUACCCGCAGAAGAAGCACCGGCUAACUCCGUGCCAGCAGCCGCGGUAAUACGGAGGGUGCAAGCGUUAAUCGGAAUUACUGGGCGUAAAGCGCACGCAGGCGGUUUGUUAAGUCAGAUGUGAAAUCCCCGGGCUCAACCUGGGAACUGCAUCUGAUACUGGCAAGCUUGAGUCUCGUAGAGGGGGGUAGAAUUCCAGGUGUAGCGGUGAAAUGCGUAGAGAUCUGGAGGAAUACCGGUGGCGAAGGCGGCCCCCUGGACGAAGACUGACGCUCAGGUGCGAAAGCGUGGGGAGCAAACAGGAUUAGAUACCCUGGUAGUCCACGCCGUAAACGAUGUCGACUUGGAGGUUGUGCCCUUGAGGCGUGGCUUCCGGAGCUAACGCGUUAAGUCGACCGCCUGGGGAGUACGGCCGCAAGGUUAAAACUCAAAUGAAUUGACGGGGGCCCGCACAAGCGGUGGAGCAUGUGGUUUAAUUCGAUGCAACGCGAAGAACCUUACCUGGUCUUGACAUCCACGGAAGUUUUCAGAGAUGAGAAUGUGCCUUCGGGAACCGUGAGACAGGUGCUGCAUGGCUGUCGUCAGCUCGUGUUGUGAAAUGUUGGGUUAAGUCCCGCAACGAGCGCAACCCUUAUCCUUUGUUGCCAGCGGUCCGGCCGGGAACUCAAAGGAGACUGCCAGUGAUAAACUGGAGGAAGGUGGGGAUGACGUCAAAUCAUCAUGCCCUUUAUGUCUUGGGCUACACACGUACUACAAUGGAUGUUACAAAGGGAAGCGAAGUAGUGAUAUGGAGCGAAACCCAAAAAGCAUCCCCAGUUCGGAUUGUAGGCUGAAAUUCGCCUACAUGAAGCCGGAAUUGCUAGUAAUGGCAGGUCAGCAUACUGCCGUGAAUACGUUCCCGGGCCUUGUACACACCGCCCGUCACACCAUGAGAGUUGGGGAUACCCGAAGCCUGUGAGCCAACAGUUAAAUGAGGCAGCAGUCGAAGGUAGAAUCAAUGAUUGGGGUG
rnacentral:rRNA from 1 species